UUUCAUUCUGAUCAUGAUUCAAAGUCAAGCAGUAUUUUUAUGAUAGCAGCAUGAUUUUGUAGAAAAUAAUAUUAUGUGCUUU